CCUACGGGUGGCAGCAGUGAGGAAUAUUGGUCAAUGGACGAGAGUCUGAACCAGCCAAGUAGCGUGAAGGAUGACUGCCCUAUGGGUUGUAAACUUCUUUUAUAUGGGAAUAAAAUGUUCCACGUGUGGGAUUUUGUAUGUACCAUAUGAAUAAGGAUCGGCUAACUACGUGCCAGCAGCCGCGGUAAUACGGAGGAUCCGAGCGUUAUCCGGAUUUAUUGGGUUUAAAGGGAGCGUAGGUGGAUUGUUAAGUCAGUUGUGAAAGUUUGCGGCUCAACCGUAAAAUUGCAGUUGAAACUGGCAGUCUUGAGUACAGUAGAGGUGGGCGGAAUUCGUGGUGGAGCGGUGAAAUGCUUAGAUAUCACGAAGAACUCCGAUUGCGAAGGCAGUUCACUGGACUGCAACUGACACUGAGGCUCGAAAGUGUGGGUAUCAAACAGGAUUAGAUACCCGUGUAGUC
rnacentral:rRNA from 1 species